CCUACGGGAGGCAGCAGUGGGGGAUAUUGCACAAUGGGGGAAACCCUGAUGCAGCGACGCCGCGUGGGUGAAGAAGCGCCUCGGCGCGUAAAGCCCUGUCAGCCGGGAAGAAAAUGACGGUACCUGAAGAAGAAGCCCCGGCUAACUACGUGCCAGCAGCCGCGGUAAUACGUAGGGGGCCAGCGUUAUCCGGAUUUACUGGGGGUAAAGGGGGCGCAGACGGCGAUGCAAGCCAGGAGUGAAAGCCCGGGGCCCAACCCCGGGACUGCUCUUGGAACUGUGUGGCUAGAGUGCAGGAGGGGCAGGCGGAAUUCCUGGUGUAGCGGUGAAAUGCGUAGAUAUCAGGAGGAACACCGGUGGCGAAGGCGGCCUGCUGGACUGCAACUGACGUUGAGGCCCGAAAGCGUGGGGAGCAAACAGGAUUAGAUACCCCAGUAGUC
rnacentral:rRNA from 1 species